rnacentral:rRNA from 1 species
UACGGAGGGAGCUAGCGUUAUUCGGAAUUACUGGGCGUAAAGCGCACGUAGGCGGCUUUGUAAGUUAGAGGUGAAAGCCUGGAGCUCAACUCCAGAAUUGCCUUUGAUACUGCAUGGCUUGAAUCCAGGAGAGGUGAGUGGAAUUCCGAGUGUAGAGGUGAAAUUCGUAGAUAUUCGGAAGAACACCAGUGGCGAAGGCGGCUCACUGGACUGGU